rnacentral:rRNA from 1 species
AUGGCCAUGGAAGUGACCUUGUGGCCCAGCCUGAUGAGCACAACCAGAUGGUGUGCAACUAGUAGAGGAGCAAUGGCAAAGAGGAAAAAAUAUGGGCAAAGAAACCAUGUGCUUGUGCAUCAGUGCUGGAAGGAUUACAAGAAAGAGGACAACACUAGGAUCUUCCAAGAUUUUGUUGGAAAAGUUCGUAUCAAGCUCCAUAUGGACACAGAAGUUGUACUAGUUAUGAACGCUUGUACCCAAAUGAUGAAGUCUACAGUCCGACAACAACGAUACAGGCUCAAGCAGAAGUAUUUUGAUCCUUUCCCACUCAAUUUGGUGACGAGAAUUUCUCCUGUCAAAUCGAUGGCUGAUGACUAG